CGGACACGGGGCAGCAAGUGCGCGACGUGUUAUCUGCUCUUGGUCCGGUGAAAUUAGCUCAAAUAUUAAAAACUAAAUUGAGUUAAUAUUGUUAGUGUUGAAAAUUAUUAGCGAAAGUGGGAUAUGUGUAACCUAUCAUCGUAAAAACGCCGUUUGCAUAAGUCUAAAACUAAUUUGGUGAGAAAAAAGGUCCACAAAGGACCUUUUUUCUUUUGUCUUUGGACUAGCUUCGGUUCGGCCGCCAUCGCUAAUCGCCGAACAAAGCAGCUAGGGUGGAACGUGGUUGCUAAAUACCCUACUACUCGGUCAACGGACCCAAGUAACCGCCAUUCUGAGCAUAUACGGCAAGGAAAACUCGGUCGAGGCCGAAGGACGAACGCCCACUUUCCGUUGAAGGCUAGCAACAAGAACGCCACCCGCUUCUAGUCACUAUCGUUGUCACCACGCACCGUUACCGGCAACUUUCGACUAGGCCAGAAUCACCCACGAUGAACAACCACACCGCUCCCCCGCAAACAAGACCUACACCGAUUUAAGUACCACCAAAGCGCAAGUAAAUGUGACGUCACAAAUUAUAUAUGUUUAUAAGCCAUGGCCAAUUUAUGUAUGUAUUAGAUUAAGCUUAAAACUCCAAUACAAUUAUAAGCAUGA